rnacentral:rRNA from 1 species
AUGGCCCUUUCUGACCUUAGGCUCCAAGCUGGGUUAGAAUUUGAAGACAAGAUCAGGAAGAAUCUGGGAUCGACAGUCAAUCAUCUUGAAGGCACUCACUCAAAAGAAUUCUUCCUGGUAGCACAAUUUUCAAGAUCAAAAAUCAGACUUAAUCUGGAUACAGUGGGUCUCACUCUACAAUCCUGCCUGGGAGGUAAUGCAGCCAGAUUCAAGGUCUCUUUUCUUCGAAAUUGGUGUUUCAAACUCUCUGUUGCUUCCAAGGAUGUUGGUUUUUCGAUCUAUAAUGGAGGUAACAUUGCCAAUGAAAAUUUUAGUGUUCAUUUCUUCCUUUGGGGCAAUGGGGGUCCGAAUUUCCGUAAAGAGUUUGAGCUCUAUUGCAAUGAGCAAGACAAGGAAUGGAAGAUGGUAUCUCGUUCGAAAAACCUUUCCAAAUCUUUUGCGGAUGUUGUCAAAUCUCCAAGAUUUUUUGGUGUUCACGACAAAAAUUCAAACUCCCGGCAGAACAACAUUGUUUCGCAGGCGCAGCAAUCUCGGCCUUCAGUUUUUGCUCGACCUGAAUGGCCUGUUAGUGCCAGCAUUGGUGGCGCUAGAAUGAAUUACUAG